rnacentral:lncRNA from 1 species
CCAGAAUAUAAUAAAGUCAACAUUGUAUUGUAUAUAUAGUGCACUUUCUGCUGGAGAAAAUGUCUUAUGGCAGCUAAUGGCCAGUAAAAUAACCCUUCUGGCUUAGGAAAUCUGUUUCAUCUUGAAAGGUUGAACCCAUUUCACCUGGAGUUUUCUGGAAUACCAGACUACCUAGUAAAAGAAUAAGGAAAGCCUUUAUUCCUUCCAUCCUCUCUUACAAAGAAACAGUCUUAGUAUCAGCAGUGUUUGUGUUCAAUACUUGAAGACUCUGGGGACAUAAAAAUCAAUUCUUGGCUCAAAGUCCAGCAAUAUUCUGUCUCAACAGAACUGUGCAAACUAGUGUGAUUACAGUGGUUAUGCUACCAGUUAGUCAACUACUACCAAACUGAGAGGGUGGAGAGGAAGGAGGAAGAGGGAUUAGAAAAGGGUCCACCAUAUCACUCAGACCGUCUCCAACUGCAAUGUGCAUCUUUAUCAACAGAAGCUACUCCUCCUACAAUCACUUACCAUUUUCUUGAAAAUUCGUC